GAUGAAGAACGCAGCGAAAUGCGAUAAGUAGUGUGAAUUGUAGAAUUCAGUGAAUCAUCGAAUCUUUGAACGCACAUUGCGCCCCUUGGUAUUCCAUGGGGCAUGCCUGUUCGAGCGUCAUUUGUACCUUCAAGCCUUGCUUGGUGUUGGGUGUUUGUCUCGCCUCUGCGCGCAGACUCGCCUCAAAACAAUUGGCAGCCGGCGUAUUGAUUUCGGAGCGCAGUACAUCUCGCGCUUUGCACUCAGAACGACGACGUCCAAAAGUACAUUUUUACACUCUUGACCUCGGAUCAGGUAGGGAUACCCGCUGAACUUAAGCAUAUCAAUAAGCGGAGGA
rnacentral:misc_RNA from 1 species